AGAAUUGCUCCAACUAGACGUUGCUUUUGCGGGCACGGGAGAAAGAGUGUUGCCGCCUCCUAAUUGUAUGCCCUCCCUCUUUCUGGACCGCACCGCCCACAGGGAUUGAGUCGUGCAGCUUGGCCUUCCCCUUGCUACCGCUGCGCUCGACGCAGUAACUUCUGCCUGCGUUUUCCGGGUGGGACGAUCCGCACGCAUUUCCCUCCCUCUUCUGCGGGCAUUCUCCCAGAGCUUGACCCCGAGCUUCUAUGCGCCGCAGCUGUGCAGCCUCCAACAGCUUUCCCUACUCGUUGGCCAGCGCUCCGCCAGUGCCUGUGGCGUCUUGAAAGAGAUAAGGCUAGGCUGCAACGGCGCAGCGCAGUCGAAAUGAUCACGGAUGCCGAGUUUUGGCAAGAGAUUCGCCGCAGCAUGAGCGGCGGCGAAUGCAUCUUCUCGAGCAUGCUAGCUCUUAUUCACGCACGACAGUCCGCCAUUGACGCGCAUGUGACGACGCCCGAGCGUGAGGUUCACAAACUCACCACGUGGGGCCAGAAGCACCACGACGAGGUGACAGGUCGUGUCUUCACAAGUGAGCAGAAGCGCGAGAUGGAGAUGGAGGCGAGGGAGAAGGAAGCAAGGUUGAAGGAGAUCGAGAAGCCGCUGGAAUUGAACAAAGCCUUUAGGGCCGGGAGAGUGGCAGAGGACACCCCGGUGUACGGCGUUUCGUCGAGCACCAUGUGCGUGCUUCAGCAGGUGAUGAUGUUCGCUGUUCCCAUUUAUGUGUUGCGCUACAAUGUGCCAGCCAUGUCUAUGAGCUGGAAUACGAGCUGCUUCAUUGACCGCCAGUCGAAGCAGCUCAUUACAUUCGGCUCGGGACACGGUGUGAAGGUGCCGCAGCACCUGCGCGGUCGCGGCUGCGUCGCUGGCGACGGUUUUUUUGCCAUCCUCACAAAUCAGGACGAAGUCUGGUCAUCCGGCGGGCUGAAGGUGUCGAGCUCAUCCAUUGAUGGACCGACGGCGCUCGGCCGCGAGGAUGCGAUGACGGGCAUUGCCGGCAAGACCCUGAUGCUGGUGGGGCACGGGCAGCGGCUCGCCAUUGUGACGCGCGCCUUCACGGUGCGCUCGCUAUCCGCGUUGUCGAACCCGAUCCGUUCAAUUAUGCCGCACCGGCACGUUCGCUUCUUGGACGUAGGCUACGGCGAGGAUUACUACAUGGUUGGCACCGACUCCAUCGUUUACAAGACGACGGCGUCGAAGCGUGCCGUGAGCACGCCUCGGCGGGUGAUGACGCUGUGCCGGACGCCCGUCUCCCGCAUUGCCAGCGGUAUGGGAUUUCUGCUCAUCAUUGACCAGAACGGUCAUCUCCUAUCCUUUGGCCGCAACAAGAAGGGGCAGCUCGGCAACGGCGAGGUGCAGGACGCACGUCGCAAGCCAUACUUUCAGAAGAAGCUCACUCACCACUACUUUGUUCAGGUCUCUGCCGGUGACUGCCACUCCUUGGCGUUGACGAGCAACGGCAUUGUGUACGGCGCGGGAAGCAACGAGAGCGGCCAGCUGGGCCUCGGGAGGGGUCUGAAGCAGGUGUGCAAGUUCACCCCAAUCCCGCUCGGCAACGAUGUGCGGUGCAUCGGCAUCGCCGCCGGGCCGGCGGGGAGCAUGUUCUACUGCGAUAAUGGCCGCGUACUCACCUGCGGCCUUAAUGACAGCAUGCAGCUCGGGCUGGAGACGUCGGAAAAGAUCGUCUUUGAGCCGACGCCAAUCGCGGUAAUCUUCAAUGGCGUCGAGUCCUACACGCUGGACUUUGGAGGCUUUUGCCGACCGGAAGGAGACGGCCGAGCACCGCCAGCGGAUAUGCCUGGCGCGGUUGGCGAGGAGGGCGGCAUCUCCUCUAGCUCGCCUGCCAUGGUCGGCGCCCUGUAUCGGAACAAAACCUCCUCGAACCGCGCCAGCCAAGAGAUGACGGUCAUCAAUUUCUCCGAGACACCAGGUAACAACACGACGAAUGCCAACAACACGAGUGAGCAGAAUGCCAAUGCCGCGCCAACGGAGACGGAGCAGCGUGGCGAGAACAGCGGCAAACACGAGGACCACCAGCCGGUGGAAGACAACAUCUCCGCGAAUAAUUCCACGGUGGAGAGGCAGAAGGAAAAAGGCAAGCCGAAGACGCGACACGACGGGAACGCCCACAAUGGCGGAAACGGUGACGCAGUCAAGGGGCGAAGAAAAGACAAGACGCAAAAAGAGAAGCCCAAGUGUGGCUGCUGCACUGUCGUGUAGCGGGUAGGGAGAUGUCGACGUAGGAUGCUCCGCUCUGCUUCGUCUGUGGGGCUCUACCUAAGUUUGCACGCGUAUGUCUAAAGGUAUGCGUGCAGCGACGCGAGAAGGUGGCUGGCGCAAAAGAAAGGAAGAAAAAAAAAUGAGCAACCCCGGGCUGCUUUAGAGGACCUUUAGGUGCGAGCCUUACACGGUGCGAGAGAAACCGCCUCUCGAAGCGGAAGGCGUAUCUCCUUUUUCUUAGGUUUCGAAAUUUCAUGAUUUUCAAUCAUCAAAGCUGGCGCGUGCCCUCAUUGUCUGUGGCGCUUCUGGAUUCAGUCGUCGUCGGCGUUUGUGAGCCUAAUGGAGGUUUUUUCUGUCGCCUCCGUUCUUUGUCCGUGUGCAGCGCGCGCACACACUCACACACAAGAUGGCGGUAAGAGGCGGAGAAGUGACCGCUUUCUACGCCUUGCCCUGCCCUCCCCUCUGCCUCCCCAACGAGCUCGACCAUUUUUUUUGUUCCAGCACGGUAUAUCUCACUGUUACAGCAUUUCCUCCGUGGCGAUGUCAUCAAAAAGUGCAAGCGCUUGUCGAAUGGCAUCUCGCUCGCCUAUCGCGCGCACGCCUGCGCUCCCUUGUGUGUGGAGAUGGUGGUCGCUACUCAGCGGUGUAGGAUGCUUGUUUGGAUGGGUGGUGGCGGUUAUCUCGGAGCAACAACUUACUUGCAUUCCGCUCGUUGUGUCUGGUGCGUGAGUUGGCCUGUGCACGAGCCAUUGUGGCGUGCUUGGCAGGUGGGUGCGCACCUCCCGUCUGUGUGCCGGUAUGUGCGCCUUUCGUUGCACUCCUUUUUUGAUGCUGAAUUCCCUUAUCUGGGUUCGUAUGCUGUGUUAGGUGUUUGUUUGUUGGCCACUUACCCCUCGCAUCUCUCACACGUAAG
rnacentral:misc_RNA from 1 species